rnacentral:sRNA from 1 species
AUCCCAAUCCCCAUCUUUCCCUAGUUUUUGUCACCAGUGACGGAGAGAGUCGCGGCCGGCCAGGCUAGAGGGAGCGGCGGCGGCGGCGGCGGCGGCGGCGGCCACGUGCCGUGGGAGUGGUAGCGGCGGCCGCGAGGAGGGAGGGAGCAGCGGCGUUGGCGCUCGGAGGAAGCAGUGGCGUCGGUGCGCGGAGCAGCGGUGGCGUCGGCUGCAGCUGUGAGGAAAGGCGGCUGCGUCGGUUGCUGCCGCAUGGAAAGAGGGAAGGAGGAGGAGGGAUUGCAGCGCCGGCUGCUGCCUGCGCGGAGGAGCGCCGCUAGCUUCUGCUGCGCGGAGGGGCGGUGACGCCAGCUGCUGGCGCAUGGAGAGGGGAGGGAGGAGGAGGGGUAGCAGCCGGAGGGGGGGCGGCGCCUGGCGCCGCGUGGAUUGUUGGUCAGAGGAGAAUUUUUUGUUGGAUUUGGAUGCGAAUUUGUCAUUGGAUUCAGAUCUGAAAUUCGUUGUUGGACUAUGCUGUC